rnacentral:rRNA from 1 species
GCAACCGAGCCCCAGGUCCGGCUCUCGGGUCGGCCGGGGCGCUUUUAUUGGCUGAAAACCGAUGAUCGCCCUCGUGGCGGUCGUUCUCCGAUGAAUCACAAUAACAUUGUGUGGAUCGUACGGUCUUGUACCGACGACGCGCCUUUCAAAUAUCUGCCUUAUCAGCUCUCGACGGUUUGCUAGUGGCUGACCGUGGCUCUGGACGGGUAACGGGGAAUCUGGGUUCGAUUCCGGAGAGGCGAGCCUGAGAGAUGGGCUACCACAUCUAAGGAAGGCAGCAGGCGCGUAACUUACCCACUCCCAGUUCAGGGAGGUAGUGACAAUAAAUACCUUACAGAGGUCUCGUUAACCGAGAUCUCUCAAACGGGAAUGAGUACAACGUGAAUCCUUUAACGAGGGAUCGACUGGAGGGCAAGCCUGGGUGCCAGCAGCCGCGGUAAUUCCAGCUCCAGUAGC